GCCCUCUCAUUGUUUCUCCGUUCCCUCUGCUUUCCCUGUACUCGUGCAAGUACAGAAGAUUGAGUGUUUAGUGAGGAUCUCUUUCUCUCUCCUCCAUGAGCAGCGUACUCUGAGCUUUCUUUCUCUUCUUGAUUUCUUGUUUUCCCUCUUCAUUCCCUUUCAUUUCUACUUUGAUUGAUCUUAAUUUGAUACUUUGUGGUUAAAUUUUGAUUUCGCAACUUCAUACUUUGUGGGUUAGGGUUUUCUUCUUCCGAUUGAACAAAUUUUCCCCUUUUUUCAUAGCCAUGAGAUGAAGUAGAUUCCAGCAACGCCGUUACCGCUACCGUCGGCGAAAUCAGUAUUUUAGUCUACUCUCGACAUUGAAAGGUAGAUGUGCUUGGAUCUACAUACAGACGUUUGACUCUGUUUUGCCAGAAGCAUUCAGAAUUGCAGAACAAGAAGCUCGAGAUGGUGGAAGAUUUCAGCUUGCAUCCUUUUGGAAUCCAGGCAUCCAGCUCUCAUAAAUUCCGGAAGCUGCUCCUGUUAUUUUUGAGCCAUCUUGACAUGCUGGGUUUGGAUCCUUGUAAAGCUCAUAAAUGUUGCUGCUUCCUCGUUCAACUCUGAAAUUAUCUUCAGGCACUUGAAUUCCUCUGGAUCAACAAGUAGGGUUUUGUCUCUGUCCUUCCAUCCUAUCAACUUUAUACAAUAAUGGUCUUUAGUACAAUAGUUUUAUAAAAUGCCAAGCAAGUAACAGUUCAAUGUUCUGGCUGGCUGCGUGCAGGCUUGGUGUGGGUGAAAUUGUUUUGUGUAUUUUUUAUUCUGUGAUUUCUGAUUUUGUCCAGAUCUUGCGAACAAUAAGACCGAGUAGAAAAAUAAAUAUUUUCUUGAGAUGCAGGAACGAUCUUAUGCUUAGUGUAACCAUGGCGGUUAAGCUUUAUGAAUGAUCUUAAUUUGCAAUUAAUGCAUGCGCGGAGUUACUUAUCUGAUUUACUUGUGGUGAUUAUCAAGGUUCUUGGUGAUGAAUCCCAACUGUGCUGAUUUUAGGUUUCCACAGAUUAAAGCUCACCCUUGGCACAAGCAAGUAGAACAUAGUAAUGUUAGCAAAAUGGUGAAGAAAGGAAGCUGGUUUACAGCAAGUAAGAGGCUCUUUGCUCAUAUCUUCAAGGAGAAUGUAGCUAAUAGACCCAGUAGCAUUGAGAAUACUUAGGUGGUUGAAAGGGGGCACCAAGUUACAAAACCUGAGCAACCGAAGGCAACCUAAGGCAGAACCUCCGGCUCCACCUCAGCAACCAAAGACAUAACCUCCUCAUGUACCAAGAACAUAAGAGGGGGAAAGAAUGUUGCGGCUAAUGGAAAUUGAUGAAAAACGCUCUGUUUAAUUCAUCAAUUUCUAAUUUUUACUUCUUUGAAAAAUGCUACAUUGUGCAGAUUUGCAGUACACUUUAGAUUUGCCAUUUUCCAAGAUACAUCGAUGGAUUGAUGAAGUGAGACUUCGAUGGGUGUGCUUUGAACAUAUUUUGGUUGGAUGAAUAAGUGAUUCUUGAGAUUGCAUAUUUUCACUUAAAGUUUGUUAAACUAUUAUUUACUAUUAGUUUGUCCUUUUAUUUUUAUAUUAACCUAUUAUGGUGCUAAUAUACAAAUUUUGUCUGAAUUUGUAUACCUUGCUCCUAUUAAGGUGAUGUAAAGACAAUAUUUGAAAUGGAUGGAUUGUUUUUUUGA